CUUGCCGCUGCUUACCAUGCAAGUCGAGGGGCUCUUCGGAGCCACUGGCGCACGGGUGAGUAACACGUAGGUCAUCUACCCCUAUCACAGACAUAACUCCGGGAAACCGGUGCUAAUAUCUGAUGAGGUCGCGAGAUCAAAGCUUCGGCGGAUAGGGAUGAGCCUGCGGCUGAUUAGCUAGUUGGUGAGGUAACGGCUCACCAAGGCAACGAUCAGUAGCUGGUCUGAGAGGACGAACAGCCACACUGGAACUGAGACACGGUCCAGACUCCUACGGGAGGCAGCAGUGAGGAAUAUUGGUCAAUGGGAGCAAUCCUGAACCAGCAAUGCCGCGUGUGGGAUGACAGGGCUCAGCCUUGUAAACCACUGUCGGACGGGACGAGAAGGUGCCUCGGGCACCCGGGACGGUACCGUCAAAGGAAGGGUCGGCUAACUACGUGCCAGCAGCCGCGGUAAUACGUAGGACCCAAGCGUUGUCCGGAUUUACUGGGUAUAAAGGGUGCGCAGGCGGUCGAGUGCGUCAGAGGUGAAAUAUCCGGGCUUAACCCGGAGGGUGCCUUUGAUACGGCUUGACUUGAGUCCGAGAGAGGGUGAUGGAAUUCCUGGUGUAGCGGUGAAAUGCGUAGAUAUCAGGAGGAACACCGGUGGCGAAGGCGGUCACCUGGCUCGGAACUGACGCUCAGGCACGAAAGCGCGGGGAUCAAACAGGAUUAGAUACCCUGGUAGUCCGCGCCCUAAACGAUGUAUGCUUGGUGUUGGGCCUUUCGGGGUUCAGUGCCGUAGAAAUCUGGGUAAGCAUACCACCUGGGGAGUACGAUCG
rnacentral:rRNA from 2 species